GGGGCUGUGACGCAGCUGGUAGCGUGCUUCCUUCGCAUGGAAGAAGUCAUGGGUUCGAAUCCUAUCAUCUCCA